rnacentral:rRNA from 1 species
UACGGAGGGUGCAAGCGUUGUUCGGAGUCAUUGGGCGUAAAGCGCGUGUAGGCGGCUUGGCAAGUCGGUUGUGAAAGCCCGGGGCCCAACCCCGGAAUUGCAGCUGAAACUGCCUCGCUAGAGUCCCGGAGAGGAAGGCAGAAUUCCCGGUGUAGGGGUGAAAUCCGUAGAUAUCGGGAGGAAUACCAGCGGCGAAGGCGGCCUUCUGGACGGUGACUGAAGCUGAGACGCGAAAGCGUGGGUAGCGAAUAGG